CCUACGGGAGGCUGCAGUAAGGGAUAUUGGUCAAUGGGGGAAACCCUGACCCCGCAACUCCGCGUGAGGGAAGACGGUUUUCGGAUUGUAAACCUCUUUCCUCUGUGAAGAUGAUGACGGUAGCAGAGGAGGAAGCUCCGGCUAACUACGUGCCAGCAGCCGCGGUAAUACGUAGGGAGCGAUCGUUGUCCGGAUUUACUGGGUGUAAAGGGUGCGUAGGCGGGACUGCAAGUUGGUUGUCAAAUCUACCGGCUCAACCGGUAGCCGCACUCAAAACUGCAGUUCUUGAGGGAAGUAGAGGCAGGCGGAAUUCCUAGUGUAGCGGUGAAAUGCGUAGAUAUUAGGAGGAACACCAGUGGCGAAGGCGGCCUGCUGGGCUUUUACUGACGCUGAGGCUCGAAAGUGUGGGGAGCAAACAGGAUUAGAUACCCUUGUAGUC
rnacentral:rRNA from 1 species